GAUGAACGCUGGCGGCGUGCCUAAUACAUGCAAGUCGAGCGAACAGACGAGGAGCUUGCUCCUCUGACGUUAGCGGCGGACGGGUGAGUAACACGUGGAUAACCUACCUAUAAGACUGGGAUAACUUCGGGAAACCGGAGCUAAUACCGGAUAAUAUAUUGAACCGCAUGGUUCAAUAGUGAAAGACGGUUUUGCUGUCACUUAUAGAUGGAUCCGCGCCGCAUUAGCUAGUUGGUAAGGUAACGGCUUACCAAGGCGACGAUGCGUAGCCGACCUGAGAGGGUGAUCGGCCACAAGAGAAGUGAGACACGGUCCAGACUCGUGCGAGGGGCAGGAGUAGGGAAUCUGCCGCAAUGGGCGAAAGCCUGACGGAGCAACGACGCGUGAGUGAUGAAGGUCUUCGGAUCGUAAAACUCUGUUAUUAGGGAAAAACAAAUGUGUAAGUAACUAUGCACGUUGAGGGGAUACCUAAACAGAAAGCCGGGGCUAAACACG
rnacentral:rRNA from 1 species